rnacentral:rRNA from 1 species
UAGGGAAUCUUCCGCAAUGGACGAAAGUCUGACGGAGCGACGCCGCGUGAGCGAAGAAGGUCUUCGGAUCGUAAAGCUCUGUUGUUAGGGAAGAAGAAGUGCCGUUCGAACAGGGCGGCGCGGUGACGGUACCUAACGAGAAAGCCCCGGCUAACUACGUGCCAGCAGACGCGGUAAUACGUAGGGGGCGAGCGUUGUCCGGAAUUAUUGGGCGUAAAGCGCGCGCAGGCGGUCCCUUAAGUCUGAUGUGAAAGCCCACGGCUUAACCGUGGAGGGUCAUUGGAAACUGUGGCACUUGAGUGCAGAAGAGGAGAGCGUAAUUCCACGUGUAGCGCUGAAAUGCGUAGAGAUGUGGAGGAACACCAGUGGCGAACGCGGCUCUCUGGUCUGUAACUAACGCUGAGGCGCGAAAGCGUUGGGAGCAAACAGG